rnacentral:rRNA from 1 species
AAUGGCAGGUCAGCAUACUGCCGUGAAUACGUUCCCGGGCCCUUGUACACACCGCCCGUCACACCAUGAGAGUUGGAAAUACCCGAAGCCUGUGAGCUAACCGUAAGGAGGCAGCAGUCGAAGGUAGAGUCAAUGAUUGGGGUGAAGUCGUAACAAGGUACC